rnacentral:tmRNA from 1 species
GGGGGUGUAUGGUUUUGACAGCGUAGAUCUUUGAAAGUGUAAGCAUGCCGGGCGUUGCGUAAUUAGCCCGUUAAUCUGAAUACGCAAACUAUAAAUGGCAAUACUCAGUAUGCCAUGGCUGCCUAAUCAGUGAUUAAGUAGUCAUUAGGGCCGCCGGGCAGGUUCGCUUGUUUCCAAGCCCCGCCGCCGACUUAAAACAAAACAAGAUGCUGCGAUCAAAGGCUGUGCUGAUUGCUUAAGACCAUCCAGCUAAGGAAGAUAUUGGUUUGUUGUUCCCCUGUAUUUUCCCGACAAGUAAUGAACAAAUAAGCAUGUAGAAAGCUUUUGAAGAAUAUGUUUGGACACCGGUUCGAAUCCGGUCACCUCCACCA